rnacentral:tRNA from 1 species
GGUGUAGCUCAAGUGGUAGAGCACAUGCUUAGCAUGCAUGAGGUCCUGGGUUCAAUCCCCAAUACC